rnacentral:rRNA from 1 species
UCUCUCUGAAUCUGCGAACGGCUCCGCAAACCAGUUGUAAACUAUAGCAAGCAAUCCUGUGGUUGGGCUUCGGCUCGGCCAUGGGUAACAUGGAUAACCCUGGUAAUUCUGAGGCUAAUACAAGAACGUACAACCUGGCUAACCGGCAACGGAAGGCUGGGGAACGUGCAACGUAUCGUAAUGGAUACCGGGAAAGGGUGCACGUUUGGACCGCGCUAAAGACAGUCCUUGGUAAGCCCUUGCGGGCAAGCCUUGGCCUGAGCGGCUCUUGCGGUGUGCUUCUGACCUAUCAACUAGACGGCAGCGUAAGGGACAUGCUAUGGUUACAACGGGUACAGAGGAUAAGGGUUCGAUCCUGGAGAGUGGGCCUGAGAGAUU